UACGUAGGGGGCUAGCGUUGUCCGGAAUCAUUGGGCGUAAAGCGCGCGUAGGCGGCCCGGUAAGUCCGCUGUGAAAGUCAAAGGCUCAACCUUUGAAUGUCAGCGGAUACUGCCGGGCUAGAGUCCGGAAGAGGCGAGUGGAAUUCCCGGUGUAGCGGUGGAAUGCGUAGAGAUCGGGAAGAACACCCGUGGCGAAGGCGGCCGGCUGGGCCGGAUCCGACGCUGAGGCGCGAAAGCGUGGGGAGCAAACAGG
rnacentral:rRNA from 1 species